UACGUAGGGGGCAAGCGUUGUCCGGAAUUAUUGGGCGUAAAGAGCGUGUAGGCGGUCCGGUAAGUCAGCUGUGAAAGUCAAGGGCUCAACCCUUGAAUGCCGGUUGAUACUGUCGGGCUAGAGUCCGGAAGAGGCGAGUGGAAUUCCCGGUGUAGCGGUGAAAUGCGUAGAGAUCGGCAGGAACACCCAGGGGGAAACCAGUCGACUGGGCAUCUACUGACGCUGAGGUGCGAGAGCGUGGGGAGCGAACCGG
rnacentral:rRNA from 1 species